UACGGGGGGAGCAAGCGUUGUUCGGAUUUACUGGGCGUAAAGGGCGCGUAGGCGGUCAGCACAAGUCAGUUGUGAAAUCUCCGGGCUUAACUCGGAAAGGUCAACUGAUACUGUGCGACUAGAGUGCGGAAGGGGCAACUGGAAUUCUCGGUGUAGCGGUGAAAUGCGUAGAUAUCAAGAGGAACACCUGCGGCGAAGGCGGGUUGCUGGGCCGACACUGACGCUGAGGCGCGAAAGCUAGGGGAGCGAACGGG
rnacentral:rRNA from 1 species